rnacentral:rRNA from 1 species
CCUUGUACACACCGCCCGUCACAUCAUGGGAGUUGGUUUUACCCGAAUCCGUUGACUUAACCGCAAGGAGAGAAACGUCUAAGGUAAGGCUGAUGACUGGGAUG